GAUCUGUGGCCCCAGAAUUUAGUUUCAGCUCGUUGGACAAACUCUUUAACUUUUCUAUUGCCAACGUUACCUUACCAUUUGGGCCUGUAUUAUCUGGAAUAUAGGUACAGCAUGUUAUGGUGUCUGGGAGUAUUUUACAUACUCUCCCUUUUCCUGCCAAAAUCAUUUCCAAGCUUAUUCUAUUCUGGAAGGUCAUCUGAGAGGUAGUUUGUAACCGCCCUAUCCCACCAUAUAUCCCAUAACAAGUAUAGUUCCCUGGAUAUAUAGUAAUGCCUUCGUCUGGGUUAAUAUUUUUAGUAAUGAUUGGGUAUUAAGUUUCCAUGACUCACAUGCUGACCGCUUAGGUUUAAAUACAGUGUAGAGACUUAAAACGCAUACUUCAUAUCCGGAGGAAGGUUCAGAGAUACAGUACCUGGGUGAGGCCUCGCUCCUCCGCAGACAUAGCAUUUAGACUUGUUAUGUUUAGUAGCAUUGUAUUUCAUCCAUUCAAGUCACAAGUUAGUGUCAGAGAAACUUGUCUCUACAGCCCUAGUAUCCUCAAAUAUGGGAUGACUACUAUGUCUAUUAAAGUCCUAAUGUGUGAUUUGAGGGGAUUAACAGUCAUGUGCGUGGCACCUACCCAUUCAGCUGAGUCAUACAUGUCCUGUAAGAAAAAGGUCUCCUGUUUAUUGUAUAAACCUCUUCCCUUCCAAUUCAGAUUUUAUUAGCCGUAAUGCUUGGGAGAAUAGAUUCAAACUUAGUUUCUUACCUUAAAAUCAUUUGGUACCCCCAUUGACACCCCUAU